GUAACGCGUAGGUAACCUGCCUUGUAGCGGGGGAUAACUAUUGGAAACGAUAGCUAAUACCGCAUAACAAUGGAUGACACAUGUCAUUUAUUUGAAAGGAGCAAUUGCUCCACUACAAGAUGGACCUGCGUUGUAUUAGCUAGUAGGUGAGGUAAUGGCUCACCUAGGCGACGAUACAUAGCCGACCUGAGAGGGUGAUCGGCCACACUGGGACUGAGACACGGCCCAGACUCCUACGGGAGGCAGCAGUAGGGAAUCUUCGGCAAUGGGGGCAACCCUGACCGAGCAACGCCGCGUGAGUGAAGAAGGUUUUCGGAUCGUAAAGCUCUGUUGUAAGUCAAGAACGGGUGUGAGAGUGGAAAGUUCACACUGUGACGGUAGCUUACCAGAAAGGGACGGCUAACUACGUGCCAGCAGCCGCGGUAAUACGUAGGUCCCGAGCGUUGUCCGGAUUUAUUGGGCGUAAAGCGAGCGCAGGCGGUUUGAUAAGUCUGAAGUUAAAGGCUGUGGCUCAACCAUAG
rnacentral:rRNA from 1 species